UACUUAAUUUAUUCCUUUACUUAUUUUUAGCUGAAAUUCACUAUUAAUAGAGCAAGCUUUAUACUAGCUUCAGUAACAAUUUAAUCAAGGCAUAUUCAUAACUAAUUGAUUAUUUUGUAACUGAGCCAUUACAUAGCAAAAGUUCAAACAUAACUUUCACUUUCUGGCUUCUAAUUGAAGAUUUAUAAUGAAACUGUAUAUAACACGUUUAGCAAUUAAUUAAAAAUGCUGAACUCAGAAUUGCUACUGUGCCAUCCUGUACCACUGCCUGUUUUAACUGCACUGUACACUGCUUUUCAGUCAAGUAAACAAUUGCUCUUUCAAGUGACAAAAAUGCAUGCCUGCUCUCAAGGAGAUAUGCAUUUUACUGCAUCAUUAAAGAAAAAUGUACAGUCUGUGAUAUCAAAAGACUAGCAGCAUGAAAAAAAUCAACACUUAGUUGUAGAAGAAUGUACAAAUGAUCAAAAAAAAUUUCUCUUUAACAGCAAUACAUUAAUAGAGAUCCCAAAAAGACCUGGGACAUGCCACAUUUCAGAAAGCUCUACACAAACCCUCUACUCAAGAAUGAAUAAAAGACUCCUCCCACCAGCUAGGGCAAACCAAAACAGCCCAAGAUGUUUUUAAUGAUGAUUCUCCACAAAGCCCAGAAAAUCAGCAGGUGAGUCUUUCUGCAAGAAUAAAUGUCAAAUAAAAACAAAGGUUUUAAGCCAAUACUUUUUUUGGUCUUUUCUAUAGAUGGUCUAUGAGAAACUUUUUACUUCACCUUCCUCCAGUGAGAUCAUCCUCUAUUACUACAGAAAUUAAUGUGAUGUUAAAAAUAAGGAUGGUGAGGCUAUACUCUAUGAUCAGAUGAGGAAAAAAGACUGAGAGAGUGUAGAUUUUCUCACACAGAUAAUUAUGAAAUACUAAUGAAACACAAGAAAUAUAUUAUACAUCUGCUUUAUUAGAUUUAAAUCAUUUGCAUAUCCCUUUUUCUUUACUUUGUGCACAUCCACUCGAGCUUAUUUUAGUAAGACAUUUGAACUCCAUCUGGUGCAUGUUUUUGGGUCUUACCACCAUGCUUGUCAUUUUAACAGUGCUUUUUCAUUUCCAUGUGAUUUCCAACAUACAAAAU
rnacentral:lncRNA from 1 species